rnacentral:tRNA from 13 species
GGCUAAUGUUUUAGAUUGCAAAUCUUGUAAUAUCGGUUCAAAUCCGGUUUUAGC